GGCAGUGUUUAGGCCACAGCCACCCAUGUGUAGGGGUGGCUACACAUGGGUGGCUGUAGCCUAAACACUGCC
ensembl:miRNA